rnacentral:rRNA from 1 species
CCUACGGUGUGCUGCAGUGGGGAAUAUUGGACAAUGGGCGAAAGCCUGAUCCAGCCAUGCCGCGUGUGUGAAGAAGGCCUUCGGGUUGUAAAGCACUUUCAGUGGGGAAGAAAGCCUUGGGGCUAAUACCCUCGAGGAAGGACAUCACCCACAGAAGAAGCACCGGCUACACUCCGUGCCAGCAGCCGCGGUAAUACGGAGGGUGCGAGCGUUAAUCGGAAUUACUGGGCGUAAAGCGCGCGUAGGCGGUCUGAUAAGCCGGUUGUGAAAGCCCCGGGCUCAACCUGGGAACGGCAUCCGGAACUGUCAGGCUAGAGUGCAGGAGAGGAAGGUAGAAUUCCCGGUGUAGCGGUGAAAUGCGUAGAGAUCGGGAGGAAUACCAGUGGCGAAGGCGGCCUUCUGGACUGACACUGACGCUGAGGUGCGAAAGCGUGGGUAGCAAACAGGAUUAGAUACCCUAGUAGUC